ACCAAUUAGUUGAUACCUGGUGGAAGUAUGCAAUUAGAAAUCUUGUAACUACCCAUUAACCGUCACUUGCAUACGAGUUGGAACGGUUUUGCCUAUUGGAGUGGUGGUUGUGAUUCGCAUAGGCGGAGGCGGAGAUUGCGUAGCAGAAUGCAGAUUUGUGCGUGAGCACAUAACCAUUUGUCAUUAAACGAUCCUCUUAUUUGUACCGCAGAACAUCAGUAGAGUUGAUGGUCAAGGAUUUUCACGAAGUCUUGAGGAUUGUAGGUCUAAGGUCAAGAUCUGAGAUAAAACCAUGAAGGGCACAGAAUGAGUUAUGAUGGCUUCAUUAAAAAGUUGAUAACAGCGCCGCCCUAGCGACUGAAUUCAGAACUAGUGUGAUUAAACCAAAUAAAGCGCUAAGUAAGGGUAUUUUUUUGGCUAAUCAGUCCUGAAUUUGACAGCGAAAACAACAAUAUUGUUUUUACUUCCAACGUUGCAAUGGGUUUAUUCCACCUUUAUCAAGGAUUCUAAAGAGAGUUCGU